rnacentral:rRNA from 1 species
UACAGAGGGUGCGAGCGUUAAUCGGAAUUACUGGGCGUAAAGCGUGCGUAGACGGUUAUUUAAGUCGGGUGUGAAAGCCCCGGGCUCAACCUGGGAAUUGCAUUCGAGACUGAAUAGCUAGGGUACGGUAGAGGGAAGUGGAAUUCCUGGUGUAGCGGUGAAAUGCGCAGAUAUCAGGAGGAACACCAAUGGCGAAGGCAGCUCACUGGGACGGUAUUGACGCUGAGACGCGAAAGCGUGGGGAGCAAACAGG